rnacentral:rRNA from 1 species
AGAGUUUGAUCCUGGCUCAGAUUGAACGCUGGCGGCAGGCCUAACACAUGCAAGUCGAGCGGCAGCGGGAAAGUAGCUUGCUACUUUUGCCGGCGAGCGGCGGACGGGUGAGUAAUGCCUGGGAAAUUGCCCAGUCGAGGGGGAUAACAGUUGGAAACGACUGCUAAUACCGCAUACGCCCUACGGGGGAAAGCAGGGGACCUUCGGGCCUUGCGCGAUUGGAUAUGCCCAGGUGGGAUUAGCUUGUUGGUGAGGUAAUGGCUCACCAAGGCGACGAUCCCUAGCUGGUCUGAGAGGAUGAUCAGCCACACUGGAACUGAGACACGGUCCAGACUCCUACGGGAGGCAGCAGUGGGGAAUAUUGCACAAUGGGGGAAACCCUGAUGCAGCCACGCCGCGUGUGUGAAGAAGGCCUUCGGGUUGUAAAGCACUUUCAGCGAGGAGGAAAGGUUGAUACCUAAUACGUAUCAGCUGUGACGUUACUCGCAGAAGAAGCACCGGCUAACUCCGUGCCAGCAGCCGCGGUAAUA